CAGGAUGAACGCUAGCGACAGGCUUAACACAUGCAAGUCGAGGGGCAGCGGGGUAGUGCUUGCACUACUGCCGGCGACCGGCGCACGGGUGAGUAACACGUAUGGAACCUGCCCGCAGCAGGGGGAUAAGCGGAAGAAAUUCCGUCUAAUACCGCGUAACAACGUUGGGAGGCAUCUCCCGAUGUUUAAAGAUUUAUCGGCUGCGGAUGGCCAUGCGGCGCAUUAGCUAGUCGGCGGGGUAACGGCCCACCGAGGCGACGAUGCGUAGGGGUUCUGAGAGGAAGGUCCCCCACACUGGUACUGAGACACGGACCAGACUCCUACGGGAGGCAGCAGUGAGGAAUAUUGGUCAAUGGCCGAGAGGCUGAACCAGCCAAGUCGCGUGAGGGAAGACGGCCCUACGGGUUGUAAACCUCUUUUGUCGGGGAGCAAAGCGAACCACGUGUGGUUCAUUGAGAGUACCCGAAGAAAAAGCAUCGGCUAACUCCGUGCCAGCAGCCGCGGUAAUACGGAGGAUGCGAGCGUUAUCCGGAUUUAUUGGGUUUAAAGGGUGCGCAGGCGGAGGUGCAAGUCAGCGGUCAAAUUGCGGGGCUCAACCCCGUACUGCCGUUGAAACUGCAUCCCUUGAGUGCGCGAGAAGUAUGCGGAAUGCGUGGUGUAGCGGUGAAAUGCAUAGAUAUCACGCAGAACUCCGAUUGCGAAGGCAGCAUACCGGCGCGCAACUGACGCUCAUGCACGAAAGCGUGGGUAUCGAACAGGAUUAGAUACCCUGGUAGUCCACGCAGUAAACGA
rnacentral:rRNA from 1 species